rnacentral:lncRNA from 1 species
UGAUCACAAAAUCUUGAAGAAUAAUCUAAAGGUUGAUCUGAAACAUUUUUUAAAGAAGGAGCAAUAAAAUAAUUUGGNGGAUGUUUAUAAGAAAAUCCUACUCAGUACUCUUCUUAAUUGAGGUUUUCUUCUUCUUUUGAUAAAAUAAUAUCCUUUUUUUUUUUUUUUUUUUAAAACAUAAUUUGAAAUAUGCCAUCUGAGAUAUAUGAACUUGGGCCUAACUCCAUUCUUGUAAGGACACCACUGGCACUCCCUUAACAAGAAUUCUUAAAACAGUGAUCCCUUUCCCUCUUCUAUGCGUCUCCUAGCCUCUCCACUGGGCCUUUACGCUUUGAGAGGUCACUCAGGGCUUAUUUUAAAAACAGUUUUAAACUUUAAACUUGAAGUUAAGACAUGCUCUUAUCAUAUACUCAUCAUGAAACAUAAAAAUCUUUACAAAAUCAUUAAAAUUUUUUGAACAUAAAUGUUCUUAUAAGAUCUGGAACUAAUAUUAACUAUUAGCACCAUAUCUUUAGAACUAUAUAAAACAUAUCUACCGGAAUGAUCCAUCGGUAGUUUAAAAAUAUAAAUAUUUUUGUAGGAUAUUAUUUCAUCUAAGAAUAAGAACAAUUAAGAAUUUCCCUUUCGGGAAAGAAGGAAAAUUAGAACAUAUUUGAGAGAAUUAGAAACUUGUAUUGUAUAUAUGUUCUUCCGUGUUCUUACAAAUGAAAGAAUGAUCUCCUUUUAUAGGAGAAGAAAAAUAAGAUAGACGUUAUCUAAAAGCAAGGAAUCUUUGCUUUUUUCAAAACGUCAAAAAGAGAAUAGUAAAAGCUAUCCUAUCAAAUCUUACUUUAUAUAAUAGUAAGAUUCUUUUACAAAAUUUUCAAAAAGUAAAUAGUAAAAUCUUCUUUUCGUACAAAAAAGUCUUGACAUCUGGAAAAAAUCUCUAAUCUGUUGAUUCUUUUGCCAGAAACUUCUUGUCUUUUCUUCAUUUUUCUGAUGCAUCUAUAUCAAUUCUUUACACCUGUCUGAAAAAUCUCUCAUCUUGUUGCAUAAUUGUGUCUGCCAAUACUAUCUAAAGAAUCUCCUCCGUCAGUAAAGUCUUCUGGGUUGUCUUCUGAAUUAUUAUCCAAAUCUCUUUCUUGUUCAAUCUUCUUUUUUCCUUUGUUUUUCUUUUUAAUUUGUAAUUUCUUUUUCUUAGUAGUACUUUGUUUAACUUGUUGCUGAAUUUCUUCAAUCUUUUCAAACAUCUCUUUAAUCUUUCUAAUAUCUGAUUGAGAAAUUUGAUCUGGAUCUUGAGCUGAUUGGAAUGAUCCUGGAAAAUUAAUUGGACUUUUCUGUUUAAGAUCUAAUGGACUAAUAAGUCUAGUAGCAGAAUUAUCAGUCUGCUGUGUCUGAUCUUCUUUAUUAUAUGUAACAGGAUUUUCAGCCUGUUGAGUCUGAGAAGUAGAGGAAUCAACAGUCCUCUGAGUCUGUUGAGCUUUUGGUAAGCCCAGAACCAUAAACGGAUUUGAUAAGUCUUUACCAGCUUCCGUUUGAACUGGACUAGCUAUAGAUUUAUUUGGCUCUAUAGUACCUGCUUCUGUCUGAGAAAUAGGAUUUGAAAUUUUUAAAUUAAUAAUCUCUUGCUCCAAAUCAGAGAUCUUCUUUUGUAAUGCUAAUUUUUCUUGUUGUAAAUUCUGAUUUGAUUCAUUUAAAAUCUUAAAAUUCUUUGUCAUACAUUCACAAUGAUCACAAAAUCUUGAAGAAUAAUCUAAAGGUUGAUCUGAAACAUUUUUUAAAGAAGGAGCAAUAAAAUAAUUUGGACCAAUAAAUUUUCUACAUUCUUCUAAUGCUUCUGAGAUUGAAUAAAAUCCUUUAUAAAGAGGAUUUGGAAAAUUCUUAAUACAAUCUGAAACUUCUAACCAGGUAUGGUAUAUUCCUGGAAGUCUUCCAUUUAAAACAACAUAACAUUUAAAUUGUUUAUGGUCUUGACUAAAAUGUUCUGAAAGAGCAUUUAAACAUGCUAAAAAAUAUUUUUGGUCUUUUGGAUUUUUAUUAUAAGAAAUCCAUAAAUUAUCUAAAAUGCAUUUUUCUGCCUUUGUUACUGAAAUAUGAGAAAGUGUCUUAAAACUAAUAUUACUAUUAGGAAAACAAAGUAAUUCUAUAUUACCAAAUCUUAACUUAUCAUGAGUCUGGAGUAUAUUUGUCUGAGAACUUGAACUGCCAACAAUUGGCAAUCCUGGUCUGGGACCUCUUGGUCUUUGCAUCUGCAAUAAAUAGUUAGUCAUAAUCUUUAUUUUUAAUUAUUCUACUUAAAAUAUCUGCUAUCUGAUUAUCACUACCUUUAAUAUGUUCAAAAUUAAUUACUAUUCCAGUAUUAGUAAUUCUAUCUAUAAAAUUUAACCNCAAGGUCCGCCCCUGAUACGGGUUGCAUAACGUACGUUUUUUUCCAAACCAUUUCCAACUAGAAACAAAAGAAUUGGUGACAUUACACUCUAGGACUAUUAUUUCAACAACAGUAGCGCCUGAUUUUUAAAUGGCAUGCAUUGACUACAUGGAUGAUAUAUAUACUUACACAAACAGCAACAGACAUUGUGUAGAUACACAUUGAAACACAGACACAUAACUCAGGGAACAAAAACAUUGCAUAUGACAACAUAAAAAUAUAACUGGACAAAAGAAUUGGUGAAAGCAGCUUGGCCCUGAAUAUUUUCAAAUCCCAUACACAACCGGCGAGAAGUAGCAGCUGCAAAUGAAGAAUCAACUGCAAUAUUCUUCUUCUUGUGAGUACCCAAAGACAAUCGGGAAAUCGGUGAUGUCAUCUUCUGAAUCAAGAGUAUAUAGAAGGGUUUAUGAAUGGAAGAACUAAUUGAUAAUGGAGUUGGAAUGGUGAAAUUACAGGUUCGGUAUUGUGGUUUAUAUAGCGAAUUUUUGUUCGUGGGGGUGAUAAUAAUGCAGUGGGCAAACAGCGAUUUUGGACGGAUUAUAUGGUGGAAGCAGAUCUUGAGAUAUGAAAAAACAAAAUUCUAGAGCUGAUUUAACGAUUUCGUGGUUGCGAUUUGGGGAAGAAAACAAAGGUUUUGAUUUUUUUGGAUUUUCUUGCAUUAUGUACUAGGAAGAUGACCCAAGAUCUGGAAGGGUGCGUUAAUUGGGG